CUUUUGAUAAUAAUUUAAGGUCUAACCUGCCCAAUGAAAAUUUAAAUGGCCGCGGUAUUUUGACCGUGCAAAGGUAGCAUAAUCAUUUGUUUUUUAAUUGAAAGCUGGAAUGAAGGGUUGAAUGAGAAAAUAACUGUCUCUAUUUAAUUUUUAUAGAAUUUUAUUUUUAAGUUAAAAAGCUUAAAUUUUAUUUGAAGACGAGAAGACCCUAUAGAGUUUAAUAGUUUAAUUAAUUUAAAUUAAUUAGAAUUAAUUUAAUGAAAAUUAAUUAAUUAUUUGAUUGGGGUGAUUAAAAAAUUUAAUUAACUUUUUUUGUAUUUUUACAUAAAUUAAUGAAAAUAUGAUCCUUUUUAUAAGAUUAAAAGAAUAAAUUACCUUAGGGAUAACAGCGUAAUUUUUUUUUAGAGUUCUAAUCGAAAGAAAAGAUUGCGACCUCGAUGUUGGAUUAAAAUUAAUUUUUGGCGUAGCAGUUAAA
rnacentral:rRNA from 1 species